GAUGAAGAACGUAGCUAAACGCGAUAGGUAAUGUGAAUUGCAGAAUUCAGUGAAUCAUCGAAUCUUUGAACGCAUCUUGCGCUUGCUGGUAUUCCGGCAAGCAUGCCUGUUUGAGUGUCAUGAAACUUAUCAACCGUGACUUGGGUUUAGGCCCCUGGCUCGGCUUGGAUUUGGGUGCUUGCGGCCUCGUGCUGCUCACCUUAAAAGGAUUAGCUGGACAUGUCGUGAGACUUGGUUCUACUUGGCGUAAUAAGUAUUUCGCUGAGGACAUCCCCUCGUGGGGUGGCCAAGACUCUAGUGCAAACGUCUGCUUUCUAACCCGAUCGUCCUCGGACAUCACUUUUUAUGAUCUGGCCUCAAAUCAGGUAGGACUACCCGCUGAACUUAAGCAUAUCAAUAAGCGGAGGA
rnacentral:misc_RNA from 1 species